ACUUGAUACGUGUACCUGCUGUAAAUAUGGACCAACAACAAUAUGUAGGCUUUAAAUGGGCAUGUAGUGAGUUUCAUGUUCCCAUAAAGAACUUACUGACAUUU